UCUCUUCAAGCAAACACGGAUCUGUGCCUAGCGAUCCCCUGCUCUUCGGAGUCAGGGUCGAUUGCUUUGCAGCUCGAUAACUUAUAAGGAGCCAUCAACUUGUUAUGGUGUCAAUCAUCCUAUCGACAGGUCCAAGAGUAACUGUUGCUUCAGCCGCUUCAUUCGCUGUCGAAAGACGGCUUGAGUGUCGGGGCUGUUGCAUAACGAGACGCUAUAUUCCACCCCCCUUUUCCGAGACCGUCGGUCGGUGAGGUUGGGGAAAACCAUGGCCUACCUACAUAU
rfam:Fusarium oxysporum f. sp. cubense tropical race 4 54006 unplaced genomic scaffold supercont1.4, whole genome shotgun sequence.